rnacentral:miRNA from 1 species
CAGUGGCCCCCAGCUGAGCCCAGGCUGCCCAGGGGAGGGGAGGGAGGGAGGGAGGGAGGGAGGGAG